GAUCACACAGCGGAGAAAAUGGAAGACCCAGCUCUGCCUCCUUAUCGCCCUAAACAAAAGAAGAAAGUUGGUGAAGAUGUUCAUCUGGUCGUCUUGGAGCAGUCUGAAGGUGGCGCUGAGGUGGUGGCUCUCCUGCACCGAGCGAUCGUUGUAGACCAUGGCCAACUCCGACCUGCCACCACGAGGAAGAACAACAACAGCCAAGCUCCCUGGAACUGGCUGAUGAAAACGAGAUUUAACGGAGGAUAGCAAAAAUGACAAAUCCAGGGAACACCUCUGCGGAGAUACAAGCUGAACUCCAAGUGGGCUACGAAAAGAGAGAGAUCUGCAUGGAGCACCGUGAAAAGCCGAAGACUGUCGAGCCGUUCCCUUGGCGAAACGCCCUGCCCGAGGUCAUUAAAGGCCGUCACAGGGCAUGGGUCUCUCCACGGGAUUAAGGACCCAUGAUGCACCACUAAAAGCUGCCACGGAAGGACAACAAUAGAAAAUUGCUCGAAGUCUCUUCCACAACAAGGGAACACCCUUGGGGAGUUUUUUUCCCCCUCACCCUUACGUCUCUGUGCUUUCUCUCUUAGGGGCAGAGUGAAGGCUCUUGUUUUUUCAUAUUCUCUUUUUUUGCCAGACUGCAUAACCGAAACACAACUGGUAUUUUUAUCCUCCUCACCAACCAUAAACUCUU